GAAGCUGGAAUUGCUAGUAAUGGCAGGUCAGCAUACUGCCGUGAAUACGUUCCCGGGCCUUGUACACACCGCCCGUCACACCAUGAGAGUUGGAAAUACCCGAAGCCUGUGAGCUAACUGUAAAGAGGCAGCAGUCGAAGGUAGAGCCAAUGAUUGGGGUGAAGUCGUAACAAGGUAGC
rnacentral:rRNA from 1 species